rnacentral:rRNA from 1 species
UACAGAGGUCCCGAGCGUUGUUCGGAUUCACUGGGCGUAAAGGGUGCGUAGGUGGUGGGGUAAGUCUCGUGUGAAAGCUCGCAGCUUAACUGCGAAACGUCACGGGAUACUAUUCCGCUGGAGGCUUGGAGGGGGGACUGGAAUACUUGGUGUAGCAGUGAAAUGCGUAGAUAUCAAGUGGAACACCAGUGGCGAAGGCGAGUCCCUGGACAAGACCUGACACUGAGGCACGAAAGCCAGGGGAGCAAACAGG